GGGGAAUAUUGCACAAUGGGCGAAAGCCUGAUGCAGCAACGCCGCGUGAGUGAUGAAGGCCUUCGGGUCGUAAAACUCUGUCCUCAAGGAAGAUAAUGACGGUACUUGAGGAGGAAGCCCCGGCUAACUACGUGCCAGCAGCCGCGGUAAUACGUAGGGGGCUAGCGUUAUCCGGAUUUACUGGGCGUAAAGGGUGCGUAGGCGGUCUUUCAAGUCAGGAGUGAAAGGCUACGGCUCAACCGUAGUAAGCUCUUGAAACUGGGAGACUUGAGUGCAGGAGAGGAGAGUGGAAUUCCUAGUGUAGCGGUGAAAUGCGUAGAUAUUAGGAGGAACACCAGUUGCGAAGGCGGCUCUCUGGACUGUAACUGACGCUGAGGCACGAAAGCGUGGGGAGCAAACAGGAUUAGAUACCCUGGUAGUCCACGCUGUAAACGAUGAGUACUAGGUGUCGGGGGUUACCCCC
rnacentral:rRNA from 1 species